CAGCCGCCGCGGUAAUACGUAGGGUGCAAGCGUUAAUCGGAAUUACUGGGCGUAAAGCGUGCGCAGGCGGUUAUGUAAGACAGAUGUGAAAUGCCCGGGCUUAACCUGGGAACUGCAUUUGUGACUGCAUGGCUAGAAUCUGGCAGAGGGGGGUAGAAUUCCACGUGUAGCAGUGAAAUGCGUAGGUAUGUGGAGGAAUACCGAUGGCGAAGGCAGCCCCCUGGGCCAAGAUUGACGCUCAUGCACGAAAGCGUGGGGAGCAAACAGGAUUAGAUACCCGUGUAGUCCCUGUCUCUUAUAC
rnacentral:rRNA from 1 species